CUACCAUGCUGCAAGUCAUAGGAAAGUCUAGCACCUACAGACAUGAGCAUGGAAGUACGCGGUGCUUGAUGAUGCCAAAAGUGGGUUCUUCAGGAGGUGUCCUCCUGGGAGCUGGUAGCUCCAUGCCCAUCAUUGCCCCUGGAGGCUUUCCAGAGGGACAAGAGGAGGAGGCAGAAGACAGUGAUGUGUGUGAUCCUGAUUCUGUGUAGGCUGAGGCUAAGCUCUGCAGUGGGAGUGGAGUCAGCGUUUCUUCUUGCUGUUGAGCUUCGGGACAGGCAUCCAUCUCUUGCGUGCACACAGUUCUUUCGGUUGAACAUCUGCAAGGUGACACAGAUUUGAGGGACUGUCAUACUUGACUAGAGCCCUCUUGGGUGCUCCUAGAACCUGGAAUGAACAAACUCUAAGAGGAGAUUGAAGAUUGCCCGCAUGCUGGGACUCCAGGCCGAAUCACUUCAGGUGGCCUCGGAGGGAACACCUGUCCAAUGCUGCCAAGAAAUAAACCUUUCAGGGAAAA